rnacentral:rRNA from 1 species
AGUGAAUAGAUACCCUGGUAGUCCCAGCUGUAAACGAUGCGCGUUAGGUGUAUCGGUGACCACGAGUCACCGAGGUGCCGAAGGGAAACCGUGAAACGUGCCGCCUGGGAAGUACGGUCGCAAGGCUGAAACUUAAAGGAAUUGGCGGGGGAGCACCACAACAGGUGGAGCCUGCGGUUUAAUCGGACUCAACGCCGGGAAGCUCACCGGAUAAGACAGCUGAAUGAUAGCCGGGUUGAAGACUCUGCUUGACUAGCUGAGAGGAGGUGCAUGGCCGUCGUCAGUUCGUACUGUGAAGCAUCCUGUUAAGUCAGGCAACAAGCGAGACCCACGCCAACAGUUGCCAGCAUGUCCUCCGGGAUGGUGGGGACACUGUUGGGACCGCCUCUGCUAAAGAGGAGGAAGGAAUGGGCAACGGUAGGUCAGCAUGCCCCGAAUUAUCCGGGCUACACGCGGGCUACAAUGGUCAGGACAAUGGGUAUCAACACCGAAAGGUGAAGGCAAUCUCCUAAACCUGUCCUUAGUUCGGAUUGUGGG